rnacentral:rRNA from 1 species
GUCUGCAACUCGACUCCAUGAAGCUGGAUUCGCUAGUAAUCGCGCAUCAGCCAUGGCGCGGUGAAUACGUUCCCGGGCCUUGUACACACCGCCCGUCAAGCCAUGGGAGUCGGGAGUGCCUGAAGUUCGUGACCGUCACAGGAGCGACCUAAGGCAAGACCAUGACUGGGGCUAAGUCGUAACAAGGUAAC